UGGCGGACGGGUGAGUAAUGUCUGGGAAACUGCCCGAUGGAGGGGGAUAACUACUGGAAACGGUAGCUAAUACCGCAUAACGUCGCAAGACCAAAGAGGGGGACCUUAGGGCCUCUUGCCAUCAGAUGAACCCAUAUGGGAUUAGCUAGUAGGUAAGGUAACGGCUUACCUAGGCGACGAUCCCUAGCUGGUCUGAGAGGAUGACCAGCCACACUGGAACUGAGACACGGUCCAG
rnacentral:rRNA from 1 species